UACGAAGGGGGCUAGCGUUGCUCGGAAUCACUGGGCGUAAAGCGCACGUAGGCGGAUUGCUAAGUCAGGGGUGAAAUCCUGGAGCUCAACUCCAGAACUGCCUUUGAUACUGGCGAUCUUGAGUCCGGGAGAGGUGAGUGGAACUGCGAGUGUAGAGGUGAAAUUCGUAGAUAUUCGCAAGAACACCAGUGGCGAAGGCGGCUCACUGGACAGAGUCUGACGCUGAGGCACGAAAGCUAGGGGAGCAAACAGG
rnacentral:rRNA from 1 species